AACGAACGCUGGCGGCAGGCUUAACACAUGCAAGUCGAGCGCCCCGCAAGGGGAGCGGCAGACGGGUGAGUAACGCGUGGGAACGUACCCUUUGCUACGGAAUAGCUCCGGGAAACUGGAAUUAAUACCGUAUGUGCCCUACGGGGGAGAGAUUUAUCGGCAAAGGAUCGGCCCGCGUUGGAUUAGCUAGUUGGUGGGGUAAUGGCCUACCAAGGCGACGAUCCAUAGCUGGUCUGAGAGGAUGAUCAGCCACAUUGGGACCGAGACACGGCCCAAACUCCUACGGGAGGCAGCAGUGGGGAAUAUUGGACAAUGGGCGCAAGCCUGAUCCAGCCAUGCCGCGUGAGUGAUGAAGGCCUUAGGGUUGUAAAGCUCUUUCACCGGAGAAGAUAAUGACGGUAUCCGGAGAAGAAGCCCCGGCUAACUUCGUGCCAGCCGCCGCGGUAAAAC
rnacentral:rRNA from 1 species